ensembl:snRNA U1 U1 spliceosomal RNA
CUACUUACCCGGCAGGGGAGUGACCAUGAUCACAAAGGUGGUUUUCUCAGGGCGAGUCUUCUCCAUUGGACUCUGGAUGUGCUGAUCCCUGCAAUUUCCCCAAAGGUGGGAAACUCGACUGCAUAAUUUGUGGUAAUGGGGAACUGCAUUUGCGCUCUCCCCUG